UUAAAUUGAAGAGUUUGAUCAUGGCUCAGAUUGAACGCUGGCGGCAGGCCUAACACAUGCAAGUCGAACGGUAACAGGAAGCAGCUUGCUGCUUUGCUGACGAGUGG
rnacentral:rRNA from 12 species